rnacentral:rRNA from 2 species
GUAGGGAAUCUUCGGCAAUGGGGGCAACCCUGACCGAGCAACGCCGCGUGAGUGAAGAAGGUUUUCGGAUCGUAAAGCUCUGUUGUAAGUCAAGAACGAGUGUGAGAGUGGAAAGUUCACACUGUGACGGUAGCUUACCAGAAAGGGACGGCUAACUACGUGCCAGCAGCCGCGGUAAUACGUAGGUCCCGAGCGUUGUCCGGAUUUAUUGGGCGUAAAGCGAGCGCAGGCGGUUUGAUAAGUCUGAAGUUAAAGGCUGUGGCUCAACCAUAGUUCGCUUUGGAAACUGUCAAACUUGAGUGCAGAAGGGGAGAGUGGAAUUCCAUGUGUAGCGGUGAAAUGCGUAGAUAUAUGGAGGAACACCGGUGGCGAAAGCGGCUCUCUGGUCUGUAACUGACGCUGAGGCUCGAAAGCGUGGGGAGCGAACAGGAUUAGAAACCCCAGUAGUCC